rnacentral:rRNA from 1 species
GACGGAGGAUGCAAGCGUUAUCCGGAAUGAUUGGGCGUAAAGCGUCCGCAGGUGGCAGUUCAAGUCUGCUGUCAAAGACCGGGGCUUAACUUCGGAAAGGCAGUGGAAACUGAACAGCUAGAGUAUGGUAGGGGCAGAUGGAAUUCCUGGUGUAGCGGUGAAAUGCGUAGAGAUCAGGAAGAACAUCGGUGGCGAAGGCGCUCUGCUGGACCAUAACUGACACUCAGGGACGAAAGCUAGGGGAGCGAAUGGG